rnacentral:rRNA from 1 species
GUGGGGAAUCUUCCGCAAUGGACGAAAGUCUGACGGAGCAACGCCGCGUGAGUGAUGAAGGUCUUCGGAUUGUAAAGCUCUGUUAAUCGGGACGAAAGAGCCUAGUGUGAAUAAUGCUAGGAAGUGACGGUACCGGAAUAGAAAGCCACGGCUAACUACGUGCCAGCAGCCGCGGUAAUACGUAGGUGGCAAGCGUUGUCCUGAAUUAUUGGGCGUAAAGCGCGCGCAGGCGGAUCUGCCAGUCUGUCUUAAAAGUUCGGGGCUUAACCCCGUGAUGGGAUGGAAACUACAGAUCUAGAGUAUCGGAGAGGAAAGUGGAAUUCCUAGUGUAGCGGUGAAAUGCGUAGAUAUUAGGAAGAACACCAGUGGCGAAGGCGACUUUCUGGACGAAAACUGACGCUGAGGCGCGAAAGCCAGGGGAGCGAACGGGAUUAGAUACCCUAGUAGUCC